rnacentral:rRNA from 1 species
GGUUUUUGGAUUUAAAUUGAAGAUCUAUUCUGCUCAGUGAAAUUUAAAUAGCUGCAGUAAAUUGACUGUGCAAAGGUAGCGUGAUAAGUAGUUUUUUAAUUGAUAACUUGGAUGAAUGAAUUGAUGGGGGUAAUCUGUCUUUAUUUUAAUUGGGAUUGAAUUUGACUUAUGAGUGAAAAGGCUUAUUUAUGAGUAAGGGACGAUAAGACCCUAUAGAACUUUAUUGAGUAUGUUUAGGAAAGCUUAAAUUAAUUUGGUUGGGGUGAUUGUGAUAAGAAGUUAACUUUCUUUUUUUGUUGACACUAAUGGGUGAGGUUUUGAUUGUUUUAGAAAUAUAUAAGAAAAGUUACCUUAGGGGUAACAGCAUAAUUAUUUUGGAGAGUUCUUAUCGAUAAAGUAGUUUGUGACCUCGAUGUUGAAUUAAGAUGGGACUUAGGUGAAGGAGUUUAUAGUUAGGGUCUGUUCGACCUUUAAAUUCUUACA